rnacentral:rRNA from 1 species
AGAGGUUUGAUCCUGGCUCAGAAUGAACGCUGGCGGCGUGCUUAACACAUGCAAGUCGAGCGAGAAAGUUCCCUUCGGGGGGCGAGUAAAGCGGCGAACGGGUGAGUAACACGUGGGCAAUCUGCCCAGAAGCGGGGGAUAACCUAGGGAAACUUGGGCUAAUACCGCAUACGUCUUCGAGGCUCUGGCCUCGAAGGGAAAGCUGGCCUAUACACGUAAGCUGGCACUUCUGGAGGAGCCCGCGUUCGAUUAGCUUGAUGGUGGGGUAAUGGCCUACCAUGGCGACGAUCGAUAGCCGGCCUGAGAGGGUGAUCGGCCACACUGGGACUGAGACACGGCCCAGGCUCCUACGGGAGGCAGCAGUGGGGAAUAUUGGACAAUGGGGGAAACCCUGAUCCAGCAACGCCGCGUGGAGGACGAAGGCCCUCGGGUCGUAAACUCCUGUCAGAUGGGACGAAAAGGCGCAGGUCAAUAGCCUGUGUUCAUGACGGUACCACCAGAGGAAGCCCCGGCUAACUCCGUGCCAGCAGCCGCGGUAAUACGGAGGGGGCUAGCGUUAUUCGGAAUUACUGGGCGUAAAGGGCGCGUAGGCGGCCUGGCAAGUUGAAGGUGAAAUCCCUCGGCUCAACCGAGGAACUGCCUUCAAAACUGCCAGGCUAGAGUAUGGGAGGGGACAGUGGAAUUCCCGGUGUAGCGGUG